UACGUAGGUGACAAGCGUUGUCCGGAUUUACUGGGCGUAAAGAGCGCGCAGGCGGUCGUUCAAGUCGAGUGUGAAAGCCCCCGGCUCAACUGGGGAGGGUCAUUCGAUACUGAUCGACUCGAAGGCAGGAGAGGGUAGUGGAAUUCCCGGUGUAGUGGUGAAAUUCGUAGAUAUUGGGAAGAACACCGGUGGCGAAGGCGACCAUCUGGACGACAACUGACGCUGAGGCGCGAAAGCGUGGGGAGCAAACAGG
rnacentral:rRNA from 1 species